GCCUGGGUGGCUCAGUUGGUUGAGCAUCUGACUUCGGCUCAGGUCACAAUCUCACUGUGAGUUCGAGCCCCUCAUCAGGCU
rnacentral:tRNA from 1 species